CCGCAGCCCGUAACACAUUUUAUCUAACGUUGUUGAGAUUUAAAUUUGAGACACAUAAAUGCGCAAUCGAAUUUAAGAAGGUAAAUUAUUAAAACAAAACACCUAAAGAGACUACAAGUUUUAAACUUUGUGAAGGCCAUGGAAAUUCAACUACAUGGUAUGCCUCGAGUUCUAAGGAUUAAAGAAUAAUUAAGCGAAGGCCAUAAAUUAUAUCUUGCCUAAUAUGGCAUGCCUCA
rnacentral:lncRNA from 1 species